AAGUCGUAACAAGGUUUCCGUAGGUGAACCUGCGGAAGGAUCAUUAACGAGUUUUGAAACGAGUUGUAGCUGGCCUUCCGAGGCAUGUGCACGCUCUGCUCAUCCACUCUACCCCUGUGCACUUACUGUAGGUUGGCGUGGGCUCCUUAACGGGAGCAUUCUGCCGGCCUAUGUAUACUACAAACACUUUCAAGUAUCAGAAUGUAAACGCGUCUAACGCAUCUAUAAUACAACUUUUAGCAACGGAUCUCUUGGCUCUC
rnacentral:misc_RNA from 1 species